GACGGAGGAUGCAAGUGUUAUCCGGAAUCACUGGGCGUAAAGCGUCUGUAGGUGGUUCGAAAAGUCCACUGUUAAAAAUUGAGGCUUAACUUCAAAGAUGCCGUGGAAACUUUCAAACUAGAGUAUGGUAGGGGUAGAGGGAAUUUCCAGUGGAGCGGUGAAAUGCGUAGAUAUUGGAAAGACCACCGAUGGCGAAGGCACUCUACUGGGCCGACACUGACACUGAGAGACGAAAGCUAGGGGAGCGAAUGGGAUUGAG
rnacentral:rRNA from 1 species